rnacentral:rRNA from 1 species
UACGUAGGGUGCAAGCGUUGUCCGGAAUUAUUGGGCGUAAAGAGCUCGUAGGCGGUCUGUCGCGUCUGCUGUGAAAACUCAGGGCUUAACCCUGAGCUUGCAGUGGGUACGGGCAGACUAGAGUGCGGUAGGGGAGACUGGAAUUCCUGGUGUAGCGGUGAAAUGCGCAGAUAUCAGGAGGAACACCGGUGGCGAAGGCGGGUCUCUGGGCCGUAACUGACGCUGGAGGAGCGGAAAAGCAUGGGGGAGCGAACAGG